GCUUGCGGUCGGGCACUGAGCCAGUCAGUAAAUCCCCGCUGGCAGCACGGGUCGCGCAUUGGCCGCAGCAGUGCUCUCAGGAGAAGUAGCAGUGCGGUUACUUACUUUGCUCACGGGUAUAAGAAAGGUUCCUCACUAGUGAAUGGCCUCCUAUGGUUACAAGGCAAGUUCACUAACCACCGAGCCAGUGCCAGACUAUAGUCUGUUGUCCAUCAGCAGAGCUGUUCAGUCCUCGGAUGACUCAUCAUGUAUGCAGCUGCUGUCAUCCAAUCACCAAGAGGACACCCUGUUACACCACCCCCUGAAAACUGAAGCCCACCAAUCCCAUGGUGAAGCUAUGGCCAAUUGUUGUCAAUGGCACUGACAGGGUUUGAUUCUGAACCAAGUGGUAUGCCACUGCACAAACGACUGGCACUUUCGGCUGUCAGGGAGGUCCGAGAAUUGGCAUUUUUGCUGCUUGGAAAAAAAAGUACGCAGUCUGAAAAUGUGGUAAAAUACAAACUCUUGCUAAUGCAAAGACAAGUUCCUGUUUACCUGUAGUUUGUAUGCCUUCUUGUAGUGUGUUCUGUUCUGUUUGUCAGUAGCUCACUUGGUAUGGAAAAGUAACUUGCCACCACCUGUUCUGGCCUGUUAGGCGUGUUUGUUU